AGCAAUACGGGAGUGGCGCACGGGUGAGUAACACGUGGGAAUAUGCCCAGCAGUGGGGGAUAACCGAGGGAAACUUCGGCUAAUACCGCAUACGCCCCUAGGGGGAAAGAUUUAUCGCUGUUGGAUUAGCCCGCGUCCGAUUAGCUAGUUGGUGUGGUAACGGCGCACCAAGGCGACGAUCGGUAGCUGGUCUGAGAGGAUGAUCAGCCACACUGGGACUGAGACACGGCCCAGACUCCUACGGGAGGCAGCAGUGGGGAAUAUUGGACAAUGGGAGCAACCCUGAUCCAGCCAUGCCGCGUGAGUGAAGAAGGCCUUAGGGUUGUAAAGCUCUUUCGGCGGGGACGAUGAUGACGGUACCCGCAGAAGAAGCCCCGGCUAACUCCGUGCCAGCAGCCGCGGUAAUACGGAGGGGGCUAGCGUUGUUCGGAAUUACUGGGCGUAAAGCGCGCGCAGGCGGCUAUUCUAG
rnacentral:rRNA from 1 species